rnacentral:rRNA from 1 species
UACGGAGGAUCCAAGCGUUAUCCGGAUUUAUUGGGUUUAAAGGGUGCGUAGGCGGAUUAUUAAGUCAGUGGUGAAAUCCUGCAGCUUAACUGCAGAACUGCCAUUGAUACUGAUGAUCUUGAGUACAGUUGAGGUGGGCGGAAUGUGUCAUGUAGCGGUGAAAUGCUUAGAUAUGACACAGAACACCAAUUGCGAAGGCAGCUCGCUAAACUGUAACUGACGCUGAGGCACGAAAGCGUGGGGAUCAAACAGG